rnacentral:rRNA from 1 species
UACGUAGGGGGCGAGCGUUGUCCGGAAUCAUUGGGCGUAAAGCGCGUGUAGGCGGCCCGGUAAGUCCGCUGUGAAAGUCCAGGGCUCAACCCUGGGAUGCCGGUGGAUACUGUCGAGCUCGAGUCCGGAAGAGGCGAGUGGAAUUCCUGGUGUAGCGGUGAAAUGCGCAGAUAUCAGGAGGAACACCAAUGGCGAAGGCAGCUCGCUGGGACGUGACUGACGCUGAGACGCGAAAGCGUGGGGAGCAAACAGG